rnacentral:rRNA from 1 species
UCCCCGCACAAGCAGCGGAGCGUGUGGUUUAAUUCGUUGCUACACGAAGAACUUACCUGGGUUUGACAUAUAGGUUGUAGGGAACUGAAAAGGGACCGACCCUUCGGGGAGCCUAUACAGGUGUUGCAUGGCUGUCGUCAGCUCGUGUCGCGAGAUGUUCGGUUAAGUCCGCUAACGAGCGCAACCCUCGUCGUAUGUUAUAUGUGUCAUACGAGACUGCCGGUAAAAGCCGGAGGAAGGUGAGGAUGAUGUCAAGUCAGCAUGACCUUUAUAUCCAGGGCUACACACACGCUACAAUGGUCUGUACAAUGGGUAGCCAAGCCGCGAGGCGGAGCCAAUCCUGAAAGCAGGCCUCAGUUCAGAUUGCAGUCUGCAACUCGACUGCAUGAAGCCGGAGUUGCUAGUAACCGCAGGUCAGCAAUACUGCGGUGAAUACGUUCCCGGGUCUU